rnacentral:rRNA from 1 species
AUACGUAGGGGGCGAGCGUUGUCCGGAAUGAUUGGGCGUAAAGGGCGCGUAGGCGGCGCGGUAAGUCUGGAGUGAAAGUCCUGCUUUCAAGGUGGGAAUUGCUUUGGAUACUGCCGCGCUUGAGUGCAGGAGAGGUUAUCGGAAUUCCCGGUGUAGCGGUGAAAUGCGUAGAGAUCGGGAGGAACACCAGUGGCGAAGGCGGGUAACUGGACUGCAACUGACGCCGAGGCGCGAAAGUGUGGGGAGCAAACAGGAUUAGAUACCCUGGUAGUCCACACUGUAAACGAUGAAUGCUAGGUGUAAGAGGUAUCGACCCCUUUUGUGCCGGAGUCAACACAAUAAGCAUUCCGCCUGGGGAGUACGGCCGCAAGGUUGAAACUCAAAUGAAUUGACGGGG